UACGUAGGGACCGAGCGUUGUCCGGAAUCAUUGGGCGUAAAGAGCGUGUAGGCGGCCACUUAAGUCCUGCGUGAAAUCUUGCGGCUCAACCGCAAGCGGUCGUGGGAAACUGGGUGGCUAGAGUGCGGGAGAGGAGAGUGGAAUUCCUGGUGUAGCGGUGAAAUGCGCAGAUAUCAGGAGGAACACCGGUGGCGAAGGCGGUUCUCUGGGCCUUACCUGACGCUGAGGAGCGAAAGCGUGGGGGAGCAAAACAGG
rnacentral:rRNA from 1 species